rnacentral:rRNA from 1 species
UACAGAGGGGGCAAGCGUUGUUCGGAGUUACUGGGCGUAAAGAGUGCGUAGGCGGUGUUCCAAGUCUGUUGUGAAAUCUCCCGGCUCAACUGGGAGGGUGCGGCGGAAACUGGGACGCUGGAGUACGGGAGAGGUAAGCGGAAUUCCUGAUGUAGCGGUGAAAUGCGUAGAUAUCAGGAGGAACACCUGCGGUGUAGACGGCUUACUGGACCGUAACUGACGCUGAGGCACGAAAGCGUGGGUAGCAAACAGG